rnacentral:rRNA from 1 species
CUCCUACGGGAGGCAGCAGUGAGGAAUAUUGGACAAUGGGCGCAAGCCUGAUCCAGCCAUGCCGCGUGCAGGAUGACGGUCCUAUGGAUUGUAAACUGCUUUUGCACAGGAAGAAACAACUCUACGUGUAGAGUCUUGACGGUACUGUGAGAAUAAGGAUCGGCUAACUCCGUGCCAG